GCUCACUUGGACAGAACAUAUGCUAAAAUUGGAAUAACACAGAGAAGAUUAGCAUGAGUCCUGAGCAAGCAUGAUACACAAAUUCAUGACGUGAUCAAACAUAAA